rnacentral:rRNA from 1 species
GUGUCAGCCGCCGCGGUAAGACGAACCGUGCUAACGUUGUUCGGAUUCACUGGGCUUAAAGGGCGCGUAGGCGGGCAACCAAGUCAGGGGUGAAAUCUUUCGGCUCAACCGGAAAAGCGCCCCUGAUACUGGUCGCCUCGAGGGGGGUAGGGGCGGACGGAACUUCCGGUGGAGCGGUGAAAUGCGUAGAUAUCGGAAGGAACGCCGGUGGCGAAAGCGGUCCGCUGGACCCCUUCUGACGCUGAGGCGCGAAAGCCAGGGGAGCAAACGGGAUUAGAUACCCUCGUAGUCC